AAUCAUCUUGCAGAGGAGCGGAUGCGAAGAAAAAAAAAAAAGAAAAAAAAUAAAAUAAAAUAUA
rnacentral:ribozyme from 1 species